GAUGAACGCUGGCGGCGCGCCUAACACAUGCAAGUCGAACGAGCGAGAGAGAGCUUGCUUUCUCAAGCGAGUGGCGAACGGGUGAGUAACGCGUGAGGAACCUGCCUCAAAGAGGGGGACAACAGUUGGAAACGACUGCUAAUACCGCAUAAGCCCACGACCCGGCAUCGGGUAGAGGGAAAAGGAGCAAUCCGCUUUGAGAUGGCCUCGCGUCCGAUUAGCUAGUUGGUGAGGUAACGGCCCACCAAGGCGACGAUCGGUAGCCGGACUGAGAGGUUGAACGGCCAAAUGGGGAAUGAGCCACGGACCGGACCCCUGGGGGGGGAGGCGGGGGGGAAUAUGGAAAAGGGGGGGAAACCCGGAGGCAGCGGCGCCGGGGGGAGAAAGAGGGUUUGGGAAUUGAAAUCUCCUUUUGUGGGGGAAAAUAAGGACGGUACACAACAAGAAAGGGAGGGCAAACUACGUG
rnacentral:rRNA from 1 species